AUAACUAUGUACAAAAUGAAACUGAAAUUAUGGCAAGCUCAAAUUAAAGCAAACAAUUUUAUGCAUUUCAACACAUUGGCUAAACACAGUCCUGUGAACAGUAAAAAAUAUACAGUCUUGCUUUUUUAAUUGAUACAAGAAUUUGAAAACAGAUUUCAAGAUUUCUGGGAAAAUAACCAAUAUUUUGCUAUAUUUGCAACUCCAUUUCAGUCUACAUAAACAUGUUACCUGCCAAUUUUCAAAUAGAAUGCAUAGAACUGCAAUCUGACAUUCAACUUAAAGAAAAAUUUGAUUGUGUCUUUGUACUGUACUUUAUAGGUCCCAUCUUCCCAGAGACAAAUACCCCUUGCUUCACAAUCAUGCCUUAUUCAUGUCAUUGCUAUUUGGCAGCACUUACAUUUGUGAACCACUGUUUUCAAGAAGGAAACACAUUAAUAGUAAAUUAGAACCAAAAUAUCUGGUGACACCUUUAGAACUCAGUGAGGCUUGCAACUACUUCUAUCAAAUGAGAUAUUGAUGCACUAGUUUCUCAAAUUCAAUGUCAACACCCCACUUGUUUUAUGUUGCCCUCUUUUCUUUUACUUUUAUAAUAAAAUAUUAAC